UACGAAGGGGGCAAGCGUUGUUCGGAAUUACUGGGCGUAACGGGUCUGUAGGUGGCCAACUAAGUCAGACGUGAAAUCCCUCAGCUUAACUGGGGAACUGCGUCUGAUACUGGAUGGCUUGAGUGUGGGAGAGGAAUGCGGAAUUCCAGGUGUAGCGGUGAAAUGCGUAGAUAUCUGGAGGAACACCGGUGGCGAAGGCGGCAUUCUGGACCAUAACUGACACUGAGAGACGAAAGCCAGGGGAGCAAACGGG
rnacentral:rRNA from 1 species